rnacentral:sRNA from 1 species
CCAAGUGCUAUACGCCAGUCUGGGCCUCGUCCAACUCUUCGUCAUCUGGCUCCAACUGGUAAUGCUCCGGCCUCUCGUGGCCUCCCUACUACCACUCAGAGAGUCGGGUCUGAGUGCCCGGACCGCUUGGCUAUGGACUUUGGUGGGGCUGGUGCCGCCCAGCAAGGGCUGACUGACAGCUGCCAGUCUGGAGGUGGUAUUGGAUGCACACAGAAGGGGGAAAGAUGGGAUUUGACGGGUCUUUGCCCAGACUGAUGGGCUUUAAUUGUAUUUGUUCUUUCCCUAAGGCGUUCCCACAGCUGUGCAGAACUUAGCGCCGCGCGCUGCUGUUGCCGCUGCUGCUCCCCGGGCUGUUGCCCCCUACAAAUACGCCUCCAGUGUCCGCAGCCCUCAUCCUGCCAUACAGCCUCUGC